rnacentral:tRNA from 1 species
AAGGGAGAACAACCCAGUAAAAGCUGCUAACUUUAUCUAUUGAAGCUAAACUCUUCAACUCUCUUG